rnacentral:rRNA from 1 species
GUGGGAACCUGCCUUUAGGUUCGGAAUAACAGUUGGAAAUGACUGCUAAUACCGGAUAAUGUCUUCGGACCAAAGAUUUAUCGCCUUUAGAUGGGCCCGCGUUGGAUUAGCUAGUUGGUGAGGUAACUGCCCACCAAGGCUACGAUCUAUAGCUGGUCUGAGAGGAUGAUCAGCCACACUGGGACUGAGACACGGCCCAGACUCCUACGGGAGGCAGCAGUGGGGAAUAUUGGACAAUGGGCGAAAGCCUGAUCCAGCAAUGCCGCGUGAGUGAUGAAGGCCUUAGGGUUGUAAAGCUCUUUUACUAGGGAUGAUAAUGACAGUACCUAGAGAAUAAGCUCCGGCUAACUCCGUGCCAGCCGCCGGGGUAAUU